ACACUUGAACGAAGAAGACGUGGUCUUCUAUUUGCCGCACUAAGUCUUUUCUCAGUUGUUCAAGGCUUUAUACUAAGUCAUUUAUUUGUUUUUUGUCUGCCGCAUUGAUUUUCUUUCUUGAAAGAAAUAAAUAUUUUUUCUUUUACGACUAUCGUAAACUUGCACGAGUCGCGGACUCGUUUGUGGCAAGAUGGCGGACGACAAACAGAAAAAGAACUUGAGAAGCUCGUCGGUUGGUAAAGUUGAUUUGGGAUGGGAAGAUUUAAACCCAGCCUUAUUAGAGGAUAGUACCGAUGUUUAUACGGAAUUUUCUACCCAAAAAUCUAAGGAGAAAUGUGAUAAAACUCCGGUAAUGGCGAGUCAGCUGACGAAGUCAAAAAUCGCCUCGACUUUAGCUUCACCUUUACCGUCAACUUCUGGUUCUAAACUGCACGCUGGUCAGAGAAGCAGUAAAAAAUCUUCAAGAGAUUCAUCGACUCAUUCGACCGGCAAUACUGAAAUAAUAAAAAUUCUGAAAGACAUUCAGGAAAAACAAGGAGAACAAGCCGCCAGACUUGUUACCUUAGAAAAUCAAUCAUAUUAUGAUGAAGAAGAAUAUGAUGAGCAAUAUGAACUUGAAACUGACGAGGAAUCUUAUAUUGAUCCUAGCCAAAACCAUCCUGGCCAUAAACGGAAAUUAGGUCCGUCACCCUCAAAGGAUGAUUAUGGUGGUGAUACCGAGAAUAGGUUUUCAUUAAUGUCAAAACGUUUCAAACCGUCUGACUCUGUCGUUGACAAAAAUGUUGAUGUAGUACUGGCUAAUAAUGUAAAUGAACUUUUCAAAAAUGGUAUGAGUGAGGACCAGUACAAUGCUCUAACUAAGGAUGAAGUUACAGCCCGUCCGAAAAAUUGUGAUGGUUUGGUACUGGUAAAAACAAACCAAUUAGUAUGGGACAUUAUGACACCAGAAUCGAGGAGUUCUGAUCGGAAAAUGCAGGCCAUUGAAAGUUCGGUUAUCAAGUCUGCCAUCAUAUUGAGUAAAGCAGUAGAUUCUCUUGCAGAUCUAGCCGAUACUUCUAACUUGCCGAGUACAGCCAUACCAGAUAUUAUAGAUAAACUGAACGACAGUUUAGCCCUUUUGGGUCACUCAAACCGUCAAAUCAACCUUACUAGAAGGGACUUCAUAAAGGCUGAUCUACGCCCAGAAUUUUCGCACUUGUGUGCACAGUCACAGCCUUUCACCACUUUUUUAUUUGGAGAUGAUGUGCCUAAGUUAGCCAAAGAAAUAGCCGACUGCAGUCGCAUUGGCCAGAAAUUACAGAACUAUCCCCAAAGAAGUUCAUUUUCAAGAGGUAGACCCUGGAGAGGUAGAUCUAGAGGGCGAUAUGGAAGAGGCAGAGGUCGUGCCAUGUAUCCACAAGCACAAGCUAAUGUCAAGUACUCUACAAAAAACUACAGGCGGGGCAGUAUGCCCCAGAAUCUGAGAAGCAAAAGUCAAUAGACUCAACUAAUAAGAGAACAAGAAAGCUUACAUUGCAGAUGAGUGUUUAAGAAUUUCAAAGAAAGUUAAAGUUACUAUUCGUGAUUUGGCUCAUGUUAUUGGUCUUAUCAUAUCAAGUUUUUCGGCCGUAGAAUACGGGCCAUUAUUUUAUCGAAUUUUGGAGUCGAGUAAGGUACAGGCUCUAAGGGAAAAGCAAGCCUAUUGGGACGCUGUAUCAAGAAGAUACGAGAGGACAAAGCUACAGGCAUAGUUAUUGCCCCUCUAUGGCCAACCCAAGUUUGGUUUGUCCAUCUAAUGGAACUACUUAUUCAUCCACCUCUACUGAUUCCGAAAAUGAAAGACUUGCUGACAUUGACACACAAACAGAAUCAGAGCCAUCCUCUUCGACGAAAGUUGGUAUUGAUCGCUUGCCAUGUCUCCGGAAAUCAUAUAAAGAACAAGGUCUUUCUGAACAGUCUACAAGAAUUCUCCUGGCUUCCUGGAAAACUGGGACUAAAAAACAAUAUUCCGUGUUCAUUAAGAGAUGGAUACAAUACUGUGGUAAAAAGAAGAUUAGUAUCAUUCAAUCAUCUAUAGCAGAUGUUACAAGUUUUCUCACAGAACUUUUUGAAACUGGGUUAAGUUAUAGCUCCCUAAACACAGCAAGGUCCGCAUUAUCAGCGAUGGGAAUCAUUAUUCAAGGACAUUCUGUUGGAACUCAUCCAGUUAUAUCAAAAUUUAUGAGGGGUGUGUUUAAUUUGAGACCCUCGAAACCGCGACAUAUGGUGACAUGGGAUGUAGGUAAAGUUUUGCUUUACUUGAAGAAGCUUUCGCCAGUGAAGGACUUGAGUUUGAAAGACUUAACUCUGAAACUUACAAUGCUAAUUGCACUGACAAAUGUGUUACGAGUACAUGCUAUUCAUCUUUUAUCUAUAAAGAAUAUGGUUAAAACUAAAUGUGAAUUUUCUUUUGAACUCAGUGGUUUACAAAAACAGAGCAGACCAUGUGCUAGUGUUAAAUGUGUGUCAAUGAAAGCUUACCCUCCAGAUAGGAGGUUGUGUGUAUAUACUGCCAUGAAAGAAUAUUUACAAAGAACAGUAGAUAUUCGUAAAAACGAGUUUUCAUUAUUUUUGAGCUUUAUUAAACCCCAUAAAAAAGUGUCCCGGGACACAGUGUCUAGAUGGAUUAAAACUGUGAUGGAACGUUCUGAUAUAGACACCAAUGUUUAUGGUUCACAUACAGUGAGGUCAGCCGUAUGUUCUAAGGCUCAUAAAAACUCUGUUCCUAUUCAGGAUAUUCUGCAUGCUGGUGGCUGGAGCAAUGCAGGAACUUUUUUCAAAUUUUAUAAGAAGGAUAUAAUAUCUACUGCAAAUUCUAGAUUUGUGGAUACAGUACUCAAAGAAUAAACUAAAAUUGCCAAUCUUAUUGUUUCUUUGUUACUAUAUGUAUGUAAUAUGCCAAAUAUAAAGAUUUCACCAGCUUUGAAGUCUCAUUUAUGACCGGAAGUGAUAUGACGAAAUAUAAUUUGAAAAAUUGACGAGACUUACCUUGGUACAGUUGAAGUCAAUUUUAAAUUAUGUGAGUCAUAGGACUCACUGUAGGGAUUAAAUGCCUCCCGCCCAUCCCUACAAUUUUGCCAGCUUGUGUAAGCUGUGCACAUACAAGUUUAUUUCAUGAUAAAAUGGAAUCCGAAUCUAAAAAAAAAAAAAAAAAAAAAAAAAAAAAAUUUGUUCAAUCUUAUAUAUUUUUGUUACUUUAAAGACUGACAAUCUGCGGCACGUGCUACACUCUCAUUUAAUCCCUACAGUGAGUCCUAUGACUCACAUAAUUUAAAAUUGACUUCAACUGUACCAAGGUAAGUCUCGUCAAUUUUUCAAAUUUUCGUGCACGUUAAAGAUUUGACGCAUUUCCGCUAUGCGCACAAAUUUCGAAAUAGCUUUAAGCAGUAGCUGCACACCACUUUUCCGACAGAAAAUCAAAUUUCAAACCUCUAUCUCUUAUAGUUGCUGAGAUCUAGCUUCCCCCAAUAAAAAAAAUAAUAAUAACUAGAUCUGCAUAGCAGAUAUGAAAGCUUUCAUAUGAACUGCAAAGGGGGUUAUUAGAAUCUAUUGAAACAAUAAGUAUAAAUGUCAUCAGGUAUCUGAAAAAUUACAUUUACCUUAUGAACAAAAUGGCUACCAUCCAAGGCAUAUUUAGAAAACCGUAUAUUAUAUACAGAGUACGCAGGACAGGAAUUAAUCGGAAAUCGCUGAAAAUCAAUUGGCUUCUUGAUCUCAUGACCUUAAACACUGUAUAAAUUUAAAGUCAAUCGGAUAUUGAAUUUAGCCUCUAGAGCGUCCACAAGAUUUUUUAAAGUGAUAAAGGGCAAUAACUCUGACGGUAAUUAUCGGAAAUGGCAGUAAAUAUCAGAUAUCGCUGAAAAUCAAUAAUGUAGGCAUCUUCUUGUCAUGACCUUAAACACUGCGCAUAAAUUUAAAGUCAAUCGGAUAUUAACUUUGGCCUCUAGAGCGUCCACAAGAUAUUUUGAAGUGAUCAGGGGCCACGACUGUGGCAGUAAAUAUCAGAUAUCGCUGAAAAUCAAUCGCCUACUUCGUCUCAUGACCUUAACCACUGUGUAUAAAUUUAAAGUCAAUCGGACAUUAACUUUGGCCU